rnacentral:tRNA from 1 species
CUAGACCAGCAGGCCUUGAUCCUACAAAAAAUUAAUUAACAACUAAUUACCUAAACCAGCGGGCCUUAGUCUA